rnacentral:misc_RNA from 1 species
AACGCACAUUGCGCCUUCUGGUAAUCCGGGAGGCAUGCCUGUCUGAGCGUCAUUACAUCAUUCAAAACAUAUUCUUUUGGUAUGUGCUUUGGUUGUGGAUGAUUGACUGUACCAACAGUCUCGUCUGUAAUGUAUUGACUGUACAUUUGUAGCUUUAGUUGUAGCAAUCAAAGUUAACAACUUUAAGGUAUACACCUGUAUAUUGAGCUUAUCAAGGAUUACAACCCUGUAACCCUUUUUAGUUUGACCUCAGAUCAGGUAGGAAUACCCGCUGAACUUAA